UCCCUGAUGGCCCAGUGGUUAGGAUGCGGGGCUUUCGUCUCCGCGGCUUGGGUUCCAUUCCCGAUCAGGGAA